CCUUCAAAAGAAAUUUUUACUUUUAAGUUCAAUCUGUUUUCAUCAUUAGCUCAUUAGAGUAUCAUGUAUUCACUUUCCACAGAAAAACACAUGGCAUAGCACACUCUCAACUAGAGUUCAAGGAUUAUGACCAAAAGUCAGGCUUCAUUAAAAAAAAAAAGAUUGUAUCAAAUAAAACUGUACUUUAACCGCCAUUGUUCUAUCCAGCAAACUGACUUUUAAUACCAAAACCCGUCCU